GCCCGAGUGGCGGAACCGGUAGACGCAGCGGAUUCAAAAUCCGCCGGUGGCAACACCUUGUGGGUUCGAGUCCCACCUCGGGCA
rnacentral:tRNA from 1 species